GACGAACGCUGGCGGCGUGCUUAACACAUGCAAGUCGAACGGUGAUGCUCCAGCUUGCUGGAGUGGAUCAGUGGCGAACGGGUGAGUAACACGUGAGCAACCUGCCCCAGACUCUGGAAUAAGCGCUGGAAACGGCGUCUAAUACUGGAUACGAAACUGGCCCGCAUGGGCAUGGUUUGGAAAGUUGUUCGGUUUGGGAUGGGCUCGCGGCCUAUCAGCUUGUUGGUGAGGUAAUGGCUCACCAAGGCGACGACGGGUAGCCGGCCUGAGAGGGCGACCGGCCACACUGGGCCUGAGACACGGCCCAGACUCCUACGGGAGGCAGCAGUGGGGAAUAUUGCACAAUGGGCGAAAGCCUGAUGCAGCGACGCCGCGUGGGGGAUGACGGCCUUCGGGUUGUAAACCUCUUUCAGCAGGGAAGAAGCGAAAGUGACGGUACCUGCAGAAGAAGCACCGGCUAACUACGUG
rnacentral:rRNA from 1 species